rnacentral:rRNA from 1 species
UACGGAAGGCAGCAGUGGGGAAUAUUGCACAAUGGGCGCAAGCCUGAUGCAGCCAUGCCGCGUGUAUGAAGAAGGCCUUCGGGUUGUAAAGUACUUUCAGUCGUGAGGAAGGUGUUAAGGUUAAUAACCUUAGCAAUUGACGUUAGCGACAGAAGAAGCACCGGCUAACUCCGUGCCAGCAGCCGCGGUAAUACGGAGGGUGCGAGCGUUAAUCGGAAUUACUGGGCGUAAAGGGCACGCAGGCGGUUAAUUAAGUUGGAUGUGAAAUCCCCAGGCUUAACCUGGGAAUGGCAUUCAAGACUGGUUAGCUAGAGUCUUGUAGAGGGGGUAGAAUUCCAUGUGUAGCGGUGAAAUGCGUAGAGAUGUGGAGGAAUACCGGUGGCGAAGGCGGCCCCUGGGACAAAGACUGACGCUCAUGUGCGAAAGCGUGGGGAGCAAACAGGAUUAGGAUACC